rnacentral:rRNA from 1 species
UACGGGGGGGGUAAGCGUUGUUCGGAAUUACUGGGCGUAAAGGGCUCGUAGGUGGCCAACUAAGUCGGACGUGAAAUCCCUCGGCUUAACCGGGGAACUGCGUCCGAUACUGGAUGGCUUGAGUUUGGGAGAGGGAUGCGGAAUUCCAGGUGUAGCGGUGAAAUGCGUAGAUAUCUGGAGGAACACCGGUGGCGAAGGCGGCAUCCUGGACCAACACUGACGCUGAGGAGCGAAAGCCAGGGGAGCAAACGGG